CCUCCAUCCUCCCCGCACAGGAGGGUGGACCGAGGCACCGGCGCUCUCUGCCCUGACUGCGUCGUGGCCUCUGACGGCCGCGCGGGACCGCACACCCGCGCACGGCCGGAGCAGCUCCGGGCUGCGGUGCCAGGAGGGCUGAGGGUCCCUCCCAGGCGC
rnacentral:ncRNA from 1 species